rnacentral:tRNA from 1 species
GAGGGUACAGCUCAGGGGUAGAGUGUGUGCUUAGCAUGCAUGAGGUCCUGGGUGCAAUCCCCAGUACCUCCA